ACGACGCCAUUUUGGUUGUUGCUUCUGCACUUUGUUUCCACGUCUGUGUUUGCAUUUUGCUCUUUAUCCCGCACGUAUCGCACGUUCUGCACGAUGUAUGCCACUGUUGCUUUGGUUUAUCAUCAAGCCCAGGACGAUCUCCACAGGUUGAGGAACUACCAGGUCCCCGUCUCCCAAACGACUCUUCCUGUCCCUGAUCCUUUCAGAUAUAUCAAUCGUGGGAGGGAUACAGACAAGUACCGGAUUCCAGAGCCACGAUGUGACAGACAAUGCCGAGCGACCAUGUACAAGAUUUUUAAGUUCAGUGAUUAAUUAAUAAACUCCUUAUUGAACUUUA